UAUUCAAAACAUCUGCCUGUCCAUUCAUUUCCUCUGCCUCCCCCUCUCGUGGGUCAUUUCCUCUCCCCCAUCGUCUCCCUCUAGGUUCCCCCCUCUCUAGUUAUCCUCCGCCCAGGGACAUUUGUUUGAAUCCAGCACCAUCCGCGCACACAUCUGAGGAUUGAAGCGCAGAUCUACACAGGUUAUCAUCAAGGUCAUUUGGAAUCGAGAGACUGCAGGAAGUGCAGAUCCGUGAAGGUCAUCGGCGAGCACAUCUGCGUGAUCGAAGCGCAAAUCAUCCGGGGAGGUUCGGCGGAACCUCAGAUCCGAAUCAGGUGGGCAAUCCUCCAGGCUCCCAGCACCCCCCUACCUGGAUGCCCUACUCCAACCCAACCAAAUUCAUGCAUGCGCUCUGUGAUUUUUUAGCUGCGCAUGAUCUCAGUUUUUUCUCUUUGAAACACACACCAAUUACCAGCGUGGGCGAGUGCGAGGCGGCACGUGCGGAGCGGAGCAGCGGAGCCGAGCCAAUUAUAUGGUUAUUAGGAUCUGUUCUUAUAAUCCAAAUGCCUAUUUAGGCACUUUUCUUGUAUGAUGCAGGCACUUUUUAGAUAAAUUGCAAGCAAGAUUUCAAUAUCGAGAAUGCAAUUUUUAUUGUUACACAUGGGAUUACAAGUUAUAAUGGUAUGUGCUCAAAACGUAGGUCCAGUUUUAGUGUCAUUAGUAAUUCCAGCUACAAGUAUUAGUGCAUUUUUGGCCUUUUUUGCUAUCAAUCAUUUUGGAUUUCUACUGAACAACUUGUGGACUUCAUUUUAGAUUAGCAACAGGCAAAAUAUUCAUUUUAGAUUAGCAUUUUUUAUUUUUGCAUAGAUUUGACAAUUGCUAGCACUAAUAUAGUUUUUGUUUAUUCAUUCUGUAGUGCCUAGUGAUUGAUUAUGCCUUUUGGGGAAUUAUUUGAGCAUCUUGCCUGUACCAUUGUGCUAUGCAAUUUUUGGAACAUGCAUUUUUAAAGUUCUAGAUGCUAGGGAAGUGUUUAUGCAUAUAUCAAUGGGUAUUUAUAUAACUGACUGGACAUUCAUUUGUUCAAUUCUUUUUUGGACCAUGAUUAAGGGCAAAAAAUCAAUUCUAGAUCAGUUUGGACAAUCAUUAUACUGUUUUCGUCAUGAAAUACUUAAAACAUUCUACUUAGAAACAACUUAGCAUGUAAGCUCUUUUUUUAUAGCCGUAUAUUGACAUCCCAGUUGUUUCUUUGCUGUACUAGAGAGAAGGGGAGGUAUUUUUUUUUCUCUAGAUAAACUACUAUGGUAGAACUAUUAGUGUUGUUUACAUCUUUUUCAUUUGGAUAUGUUCUGUCUGCAGAAAUGCUGAUUACAUCAUGUACUGGAGCAUACAUAAUCAGUUAAUGGUUAUCUCAUUCUUUUUCAUAUUAUCAUAAGCAUUUCAGUACUUUGCAAUAGGCAUUUUCAUCAAAUGGUAGAAGCAUUUUUAGUACUUUCCUAUAGAGAAUUAUAUCAAUUACUAGAAGCAUUUUCAUUACAUUCCAGUAUGCUAAUACAUCAAUUACGAGAACCAUUUCAGUACUUUCCAGUAGGCUAAUACAUCAAAUAAUUGAAGCAUUUUCAGAACUAGGCAAUAAUAUUGGUAGGAAUUAGACAAUAAUAUUAUUCUUGAUAGGCAAUAAUAUGGGUUACAAUAAGUAUUUUUUUCUAUAGAAGGUGGCAUGCGGAUUUUUGCAUGCUAGCUGCAGAAACUGAUGAAUCAUCAUUUGGCAACUGUUGUUGCAUAAAGUAUUGUAGUAUGGAUAGUUGAUGCACAUGUAGGAGCAGCUGCAUCAGCAAAAAUUGUUGUGAUUGCGCCACAGCUGCAACAUCAUCCUUAAAUGUUAAAUAAGAUAACUUAGUUACAUUCGGUAAAUAAUUUUUUAUUUUUUCUUUGUUCUUCUAUUGAAUCAUGUUGGUACUAUAGUAGUCAGCAAUAUGAUAUGUGUUAGGCAAUACAAUGGUUAUUUGUGACAAUAAUGUGCUUCUGGUUUAGGGAAUAAGACGCUUAUGAAGCUAGCACAAUUUAUUUGAUCAUACAUGUGCUUUUUAUGCUACCUCUAGAACUUUUUUAACAUGCAUUUUAGCACCUACAUUGUGUUAUCAAAUUAUAUUAAUUUACUACAUAAUAUAUUUGUAGGUCAUGUGCAGUGAAGCAAAAGUCAAGUAUAAGCACGGUGUAUCUAGUGGUUACAUGAGGAAACAAUAUUAUUGUGAAUCUGUUUAUUUGCUUGAAUAUUUACUCUAAUUUGCUUCGAAUCAAUCUGUUUUAUUUGCUUGUAUAUUUAUUCUAAAUUGCUUCGGAGUUGAUUAUGAUAUGUUUUCAACUUUUAACAUAAGUGUUUUUUGAAA